rnacentral:rRNA from 1 species
AUGCAGCACAACAACCCCGACGCGCAGGAGCUCCAUCCCCGCGGCAGAGCGCAGCCCCCUUCUCCCCCCGAUCCAAUCGCGCCCGAGCGCCUUCCUCGCGCCCUCGUCGAGGAAGCAGGAAGCCUCACAAGCACCCCUCUCCCGCAGCUCGAACCCGAGUGGGUCGAGCCAGUCACCCCCGCCGGUGAUCUGCAGCAACAGCAGCAGGACCCACCGGAGAACUCAGAACAACAACAAUGGCGAUGCCACUAUAGAGCUCUGAACUGCCGCCGUCACGCCCGCAUCAAGUUCGCCGGAAUCUGUGCACCGACACCCGGCGCAGCGACCCAGCAUGCCCGCGUCACAACAGGAGCAGGAGCAUCUCCGGCAAGUGGCCUCGACCGCCUCCUUCUAUUCCUGCUCGCGCCCAGCGCCUCGUCCAAGCGCGGACCACCAGCGCCUCGCCCUUUGCUGUCAUCCCGAUUUGGCCCGCCCCUUCAUCCUCGUUGCAAAAUGGCUCGCGGCGAUCAUCAAGACGAUGAUGAUUUCAUGGAGUUACCGCGGCAGAAUCGCACAACUAGACGGACAACAGACGGCGAUGAGAAGAAGAAACGUAAUCGCAAUAGGGCUUCACAGGAACGCCUGACUAUAUUGACCGAGGGAUUCACCGACGACCAGAAGGGAGCUGCUGCUGAGUUGGGGAUGCAGGCUCUGAUGGAUGUUCGGUGCAAGAAUCUAGUGAACCCUGCAAACCUGAAAGAAGUGAAGAACAUGAAUUGGUGUAAGUUCAUUGCGGACUUCCUGCAUGAUGCAUUCUCAAACAAGAUGUACCAGAAGGGUUGUCGACUCCAUUUAAUGCUCAUGUACGUCGAUCGUCUUGAUCUGUCCACUGUGGACUUCACUGGGAUAGGAGGCCCGCCGCCUCCACACAAGUUUGCUGUUUCUGCGUGGACUUACGAUGCUGUCAAGGCGGUGCUUGCCGCGGACAAGAUAACUGAUACGAAAUACGGGAAACUGCAGCUGAUGGUCAAGCAUGCUAUAGAAUACAGUGUGUUUGGUGGGCCUCAAAACUUUGGAAAGUGGAUGGACGUGCACUCAGCUCCGUCUUGUCCUGUUGAGGCGAGGGCACCUGUUGAGCAUCUAAUUGGGCAGUUUGCAUCCGGAAUGACCAGCUUGCUCGGGAAGUUGGUUGAGGGUUGGACGUCCCUUAAUGGCUCUGACAGCGACGCGGUUGCGAGGCGGUUCACUCCAUUUGUUGCAGAACGGACACAUCGGCCAACUGGUUGCCGUGGUCGGUACGACUACAACAGCUCGCAGGAGCUUCCCGACACACAAGAUGAACUAGAUGGAGAUGCUGCUCUCGACAAGGACGACGACGAUGACAUGGAGAACGUGCAACAUGACACCGACGAUGAUGAACAUGUCGACGUUCGUGCAGGUGGUAAGAAGGGCAAGGGUGUACCAGAUGUCCCCUCACCGGAGAAAGUCAAAGAACAGACAGCUGCGAGAGGCAAGGGGGUGUCGCCCUCAAAGAGGGGGAGGGAUCCAGAGGAGGUUGGGCAGGACUCUCCUGUCAAGAGACCUAGGACCGACCCCUUAGCUGCUAGGAGGAGGGUGAAGAAGACUACCACACGCGUGACGAAGCAGAACCCCAGAGACCCACUCGAACGCAUACACCCAAAGCUGUCGACAGAUGUGCAGGCUACGACAGCAGGCAUCCGUACAUCUGGGAGUGACGAGUCGGUAUCUGCCAGGACUGCUGAAAUAUUGCCCACUCUGCUAGAAAUGAAGGAUGCUGCUGUGAGCCAUGCGACCCGAUCAGCAAGUGUUGAAGUGGACGCCCCCGAGAUCAACCUAAGCAAGGAAGAUUCCCGCUCAUCUGACACGGAUUCCAAGCGCGUGGGUGGUGGCACUUCUUCGUCCACGAAAGAAGGGGCUGAGGCGACAGUUCAUAAUGAUAUGCCAUCCAUAGGUGAGACUCUUGGCACAACAGCCCCAACUUCUGGUGCUCCAGAGGUUGCCAAGGUGACCGUUGCGCGAGCUGGUCUUCCACCUAGGCGUCAUAGCCCCCACAAGAAAUCUGCAGACACACCCAACGCGCAUGCUGUAGCUAGGAGCAGCAGGGAUGACACUGGUUAUGUGCCUGCGUCCACACUAUUCCCACCACCUGCCAGAAGCAAUGUUAUGGAGAGAACGGAAGACCGGAGUACAACCGACCCAGGUGGCAAGCCGGGCACGACCGACGGAGGUGAACGUGCGGAGCAGACUGCGUCUUUACCCGCAGUGGAUAACCCCAGCUUAAAUCUGCGCACUUCUAAGCUCCCAGUCAACAUCGGUGUCCCCUACAGCCCAAACAAGAAGAUUGUCAAGAAAGCUGCGACUGAUACCGCUGACAGCACGCCCUGUCCUAUGAAUAAGCUUGAUGACUCUGCAGCAGCCGAUGCAGAAAUGUUUGUUGAUCUUUCACCCUUGGAUUCUGCCCAGCAAGCUGUUCGCGGUCCGGCCAGUAGGCAGGAGAGGCACCCAAUGGCCUUCACCCCACCGAGCUGUAGCCUUGGCAUUGAUCGCAGUCAAGAUGAACCAGUGGUGCAAGAUCCUUCACCAGUUGCCUUUGCUUUCCUGGCAGGCAUGGCCCCAAUGAUGGCGCAGCCAAUGGUCGAGGGCAAGAAGGCUGUGAAGUUCGCAGAGCCGGUUGUGCAAGCCACCCCUAAGGAGAUUACGCCGUCACUUGAUGAAGCUUACCGCAGGAUUGAGGAGGCAGCAUUGCAGAGGAGCUCAUGUUUGGACAGAACCAAGAUCAUACAAUGUGAUGCGACGUACGUCGACCUGGGUGAUCUUGCCGAGUCUGUGAGGCCACUCGGUAAAAUGUCGAAGAAUGUAGUUGCAUGUGGGAUUGACUUCAUCAACAGGCAUAUGGAUAUGUCUCCCGACAAAACAAUCAUGCAGUACAUUGUGACGUGCAAAAUAUGGGAUGGUGACUUCCACCACAAAAUCCUGAGGAAGCAUUUUGCUGCGCAUGGUGAUUUCAAGCUCACAAUGAAGAAAUGUGUCUUGUUCCCCAUGUUCCAGGAGCUUGCACCACACGACCCACACGACAAGUGUGGUCACCACUACGCGAUCUGCCUUGACCUGAAGAACCAACGUUUUGAGGUGCUUGAUUCAAUGCAUUCAGAAGCUGAUGCAGACCUUACUACGCAUGCUGAAUACUUUAUGAACAACCUCAAAGAGACAUGGAACCGUCACUAUGAAAACUCAAAGGUCCAGAUCAGACAUUUUCCAAUUGUGUACGUGGCGACUACGAAGCAAGGAAACCGGCACGACUGCGGCUUCCACACGUUGGAAUACCUUGCAAAGUGGGAAGGUCGACGGGUUCCUGUCGUCACAGCUGCAAUGGUCGUCGAGCUCCGCAAAAUUUACACAUGGAACUAG